CACUUUUAAAUAUACUUGAUAUUUAGAUUUACUAAAUAAAAUUUAUUAGACUCUGUUAUAAGACUUAAGAUACAAUUUUAUUGCAUAUAGAUUUCAAUUUUUAAACAAAUCUGGGGUAGAAUCCAAGUAUGAAAUGCAAUUUAAGUAAUAAAAUUAAACUUAAACUAAGUGGCAGCUAUUUAUUCUACUUAGAGAAUUCUGGUUGUUAAAUUGAUGCCCCACAAUCUUAUUUAAAAAAUUUGAGCUUAUGUGUGGUUGUUUUAAAAUAAAUUUUUAUUUAAAUUUUAGCUCAAAUUACAUAUAGUCUAAUUAGAAUCGACUGGAAUGUAGUAAAUAUUAUUAAACGAAAAUUAAGAUUUAAUAGUAGGUUAAAAUCAUCGAAU
rnacentral:rRNA from 1 species